rnacentral:rRNA from 1 species
UACGUAGGGGGCUAGCGUUGUCCGGAUUUAUUGGGCGUAAAGAGCGUGUAGGCGGCCAGGUAGGUCUGCUGUGAAAACUCGAGGCUCAACCUCGAGACGUCGGCGGAAACCAUCUGGCUAGAGUCCGGAAGAGGAGAGUGGAAUUCCUGGUGUAGCGGUGAAAUGCGCAGAUAUCAGGAAGAACACCAGCGGCGAAGGCGGCACUCUGGGCUGGAAUUGACGCUGAGGAGCGAAAGUGUGGGUAGCAAACAGG